rnacentral:rRNA from 1 species
GACGAACGCUGGCGGCGUGCUUAACACAUGCAAGUCGAACGGAAAGGCCUUGCUUUUGUGGGGUGCUCGAGUGGCGAACGGGUGAGUAACACGUGAGUAACCUGCCCUUGACUUUGGGAUAACUUCAGGAAACUGGGGCUAAUACCGGAUAGGAGCUCCUGCUGCAUGGUGGGGGUUGGAACGUUUCGGCGGUUGGGGAUGGACUCGCGGCUUAUCAGCUUGUUGGUGGGGUAGUGGCUUACCAAGGCUUUGACGGGUAGCCGGCCUGAGAGGGUGACCGGCCACAUUGGGACUGAGAUACGGCCCAGACUCCUACGGGAGGCAGCAGUGGGGAAUAUUGCACAAUGGGCGGAAGCCUGAUGCAGCAACGCCGCGUGCGGGAUGACGGCCUUCGGGUUGUAAACCGCUUUCGCCUGUGACGAAGCGUGAGUGACGGUAAUGGGUAAAGAAGCACCGGCUAACUACGUG